rnacentral:lncRNA from 1 species
CCUUAUGGUUCAGACACUAAACCAUCGAGUCCAUUGUUUCCAAUGAUGCCAUGGUGUGAUGGUUUAUGUAUCUUUUAAAUAAUAAGCCACAAUUUUUUUUCCAGCCUCACAUGAAUUUCAUCAUGUUACUUCCACUCCCCAAACAUCUACAUCUGCAAAAAUGUCAGAGCGAGAGACUGCUUUCCCAAGACCAGCCCUGAAGCCCUCAUCUGUUCCUUCUCUGGAAAUCACGAGGACAGUGAUGGUUACUCAGAGACCAAAGCUGAAAUCUACUUCUCCUUACCUUGCAAGCCAAAGAACAGUGGAGGCAAGCCAGAGACCAGACCUGGAAUCCACCUCGUCUGCUUCACCGGAAACCACAAGGACUGUGAUGGGUAAAUAGCCAGCAAUUCCCUUCACGUGUUGAUUACUUUGGCAGUGCUUUCCUCUGCAGCGAUGAGCCUGUUCAGGUGUUUUGAUGUCCUGAAAAGUGGGUCCACAAUGCAAUGGGUCCCCUGUUGCUCCGUACUAGGACCUGCUCCAUUUGUAAGCUUUCUCCUGCCUUUUUGGGGGUUCUAGAUUUACUCUGUUACCUCGGGC